UACGGAGGGUGCAAGCGUUAUCCGGAUUCACUGGGUUUAAAGGGUGCGUAGGCGGGUUGGUAAGUCCGUGGUGAAAUCUCCGAGCUUAACUCGGAAACUGCCGUGGAUACUAUCAAUCUUGAAUAUCGUGGAGGUAAGCGGAAUAUGUCAUGUAGCGGUGAAAUGCUUAGAUAUGACAUAGAACACCAAUUGCGUAGGCAGCUUACUACACGAUCAUUGACGCUGAGGCGCGAAAGCGUGGGGGAGCAAACAGG
rnacentral:rRNA from 1 species